rnacentral:rRNA from 1 species
UACGUAGGGGGCAAGCGUUGUCCGGGUUUAUUGGGCGUAAAGAGCGUGUAGGCGGCCAGGUAGGUCAGCUGUGAAAACUCGAGGCUCAACCUCGAGACGUCGGUUGAAACCACCUGGCUAGAGUCCGGAAGAGGAGAGUGGAAUUCCUGGUGUAGCGGUGAAAUGCGCAGAUAUCAGGAAGAACACCCGUGGCGAAGGCGGCUCUCUGGGACGGUACUGACGCUGAGACGCGAAAGCGUGGGGAGCGAACAGG